rnacentral:lncRNA from 1 species
CCUUAUUGUAUUCAAUAUUUUGAGGAAACCAUGUAUCUUAUAGCACUUAUCAAUUAAGUGCCCAGAUUUCUUGCAGUAUCUGCAAAAUAAGGUCCCUCUAUGUGACUCAAAAUUAACUCUGGGUCUAAAAACAGGGGAACUAGGCACUGUGGCCUGAUUAAACCCAGCUGAGUGCUUAUUUGUAUUAGCAUUAAAAAGACAUGGAGUCUGGACUGAAUUGAGAAAUAGAUUGUACUUGUCUUUGUUUCUCAUCAUUAAGCACUAUAUUGUAAACACUGUCAAGGGAAGGAAAGGGCUGCAUCAUCAAUAAGCUACUCCUAACCCCCAUAUAUGCUUCAUUUAACCCCAUGAGAAACUGGAAUACCAUG